rnacentral:lncRNA from 10 species
GCAGACUGUUCUAACUUAGUAACAAAGACAGAGUGGACAUUUAGAGAAGCGACCUUUAACUAGAAAAUGAAGGUAAUGCAACCUUAUGGAGCAGAGGCCAGGAUUAAAUGUAUUUAUGUUCACGAAGCCCCCAGCAUGCCGGCUGGCUGGCUCUGCCCCUUGCCAAGGUCACUGAUGGUCAAGUGGAACAAGCAGGGACUGAGGAGUUUUGGGACGUGAGGCCAGAAAGAAUGGUGAGUUGGAGGAAAAACAGCAACAAGUUGGGACCAGAUGAGGCAUCACCCAGACCCCAGGGCAGGAAACAGGGCUGGACAUGGAAAUCCUCAAUGGGGUGGAAAUACUAGUGUGCAAAGAUUAUAAUUUUAAGGGUAGCCUACGCGAUUACCUGGUGUUAAAUGCGUUACCGGGGAUGCCUCCAGCUAUGGCAUUUCUCCCAGUGCUGCGGUAAGUAAAGCACAAGUGUCUAAGAGCAUGGGCUUUCGUGUCCAAUGCACUGGAGCUUGAGGCCUGUUCACUGCUUACCAGCUGAUGCUCCUGUGCAGGGAGUUAAGCCCUCUAAGCCUCACCGUCCUUAUCUAUAAAAUGAGGAUUGCACCAGGACUUCCCUCCUAGGGCUACCGUGAGGUUUAAAUGGGAUAAUUCAUAGUAAGUGCUCAGCACCAUGCCUGGCCUCUACUAGUAAUUCAAUAAAUAUUAGCUGAGGCAUUCACUGUUGAUGGCUUCACAGCUAAUGGGUACUGAGCCCUCAUUCUGUGCCGGCUGCUCUACUGUGUCCUCUGUGUAGAGAGGGUUAUUGAACGUCACAAAAGUUCUGUGAAGUAGGUGUGAUUCCUGCUUAAUUUUCCCAAAUGAAAAAAGAGGAAUCUGGGCGCAGAACCAAGUCCACCUGAAUCUGUGGAAUCUCAAAUCUAUGCCUUUAACUGCCGCAUCAUCCUGUCCCAAGCCAGUGCUUCUCAAACUCGAGCAUGCGUUAGAAUUAGCAUGGCUGCUUAAAACAGAUUUCUAAGCCUUAUACCCAGAGUUUCUGAUUCAGCAGGGGCUGAGAAUCUGCAUUUCUAACACAUUCCCAGGUGAUGCUGAUGCUGCUGGUCCAGAGGCCACACUUUGAGAAUCACUGCUGUAAGCAGACAGUGCUUCUUAAGCUGCAAUACCAAUUAUCGGAGGAUCCUGUUAAAAUGCAGACGCUAAUUCAGGUUGUGAAUUAGCUGGGGUGGAAUCUGAGAGUCUGCACUUCAAACAAGCCCCCAG